AGGGUAGCCACACCUCUUCUGACAUGAGGCCUUGUGAUGAUGUUCAGCCUUUCCACUAUCCAAAGAGCACUGAGUCAAGCAAGAAUGGACGACAAGUCUGGAACUAUGAGCCCAAACCUGCUUUUACAUUGAUGGUUGUGGUGAAGAAAAGUGGGGAUUCACAUAAGUGGCGUGGAUCGCAAAGUCACUGAAAAGAAACAGGUGGUCAAAAGGAGCAACAUGGAAGGCAAAUGAAGAAUCUUCCAGUCUCCGUACCGAGAUCUUCCUUUGGUCACUGAGGAAGAGCUUCGCUUAAGCCGAUUAUAUACUGCUCCUUUUGAAUCAACUCUAUUGAGAGAGACUUGACUUUUAAAAUACUCCUCAUAUUCACUUUAUGUGCACGAGUGCUUUGCUUAGAUGUGUGUUUGUGCACCAUGUGUGUCUAGUGCCAGCAGAAGCCAGAAGAGGGUAUCAGGUUCCCUGGAAACUGGAGUUCCAGGUGGUUGUAAGCCACCACAUGGGUGCUGAGAAUCGAACUUCUCUCUCUUGUAUGGUCAGCAAAUGUUCUUAAUUGCUGAGCCAUGAGAUAUAACUUCCGAAAAAGUAAAAUAUACUUUGCUAAUUGCACACUCUGAAAAUGUUGACAAAGACAUUCCGAUGUAUACCUUCUCCUAUCACAAUCCAGGUAAGGAUUAUUUUUACUGCCCCAACAUAUGCAUUUGUGACUCUACCCAGGCGGUUCCUUUCAUCUUUCUUGGCUCAGGAAUCCAGGGUACUCAGCCACAUUUUAUAUGUAAAGAGUUCAUCAAAAAUAGAAUUAUACAAUGCGUUCUUCCCGUAUAUCUGGAUUAUUUUGGCCUGGAGCCAUCCCAAUGGAUACGGUUUUCAUUUAUGUUAACCUAUGACAGCUGAUACUGAACAGUUUAUGAUAUUGGCUCCUUUUCAUCUUUUCUGUGAUUUAUCUGUUCAGAUGUCUGUCCAAUUGUCAUCAUGUUAUUUCUUUCAAAUUAUAGAAUUGUAACAGUUCACUAUAUGUUUGGGUGCUGGUCCAUUUUUACAGCUAUGUGGUAUGAACAUUUUCACUCAUGUGUAUCACUUUUAUUAUCUUAAGCAGCU
rnacentral:lncRNA from 1 species